rnacentral:rRNA from 1 species
CCUACGGGUGACAGCAGUGGGGAAUAUUGCGCCAUGGGCGAAAGCCUGACGCAGCGACGCCGCGUGAGGGAUGAAGGUCUUCGAAUCGUACACCUCUGUCAGCAGGGAAGAACGGUCACUGUGCUAAUCAGCAGUGAAUUGACGGUACCUGCAAAGGAAGCACCGGCUAACUCCGUGCCAGCAGCCGCGGUAAUACGGAGGGUCCGACCGUUAAUCGGAAUUACUGGGCGUAAAGCGCUCGUAGGCGGUAUGUCAAGUCAAGGGUGAAAUCCCCGCGCUCAACGUGGGAACUGCCUUUGAAACUGGCAAACUGGAGUGUGUGAGAGGAUAGUGGAAUUACAGGUGGAGGAGUGAAAUCCGUAGAUAUCUGGAGGAACAUCAGUGGCGAAGGCGACUAUCUGGCACAUAACUGACGCUGAGGAGCGAAAGCGUGGGUAGCAAACAGGAUUAGAUACCCUAGUAGUC